rnacentral:rRNA from 1 species
UACAGAGGGGGCGAGCGUUAUUCGGAAUUAUUGGGCGUAAAGGCGCGUAGGCGGCCACCGCAAGUCGACUGUGAAAUCUCCGGGCUUAACCCGGAAAGGUCAGCCGAUACUGCGGGGCUAGAGUGCAGAAGGGGCAACUGGAAUUCUCGGUGUAGCGGUGAAAUGCGUAGAUAUCUGGAGGAACACCGGUGGCGAAGGCGGCAUCCUGGACCGACACUGACGCUGAGGAGCGAAAGCCAGGGGAGCAAACGGG